AUGCUACAAACAAGGUCCAUGGGGCCAGGGCAGGCCACCCUACAAUUCUACAAAGUUCUUCUACAUAUCAUGCACGGAGAAGCACCGCGUCACUUGCUCCGUCAGCCAGUCCAUUGCGCUUCUCAGUCGCCCCGCUAUGCCGAUGGAUGCCACGACGAGCACAGCGAUGUACGCCGAGACCCCGACGACCAGCGCCAGGACGUACGCAGACGUCCUCACCCUCCGGCAGCUCCCAGCGGCGUAUGCACCCAUGAGUCCAAACAGGUCCAGGAUCAUGGCGGCGUGCAGCGCCAAGAGCGCCGGCGGCGUGUCGCUCACCCUCUUGAUCAGCAGGAGGACCAUGAUCACCAGGGACGCCAUGAAGGACGUCGCGUUGCAGUAGAAGAAGGCCUUGUACCGGCGUGGGUAGUUGCUCGUGAGAACCGGAUCGCCGGCGACGUGGCCGGUGGCGUCGCCCCAGAGGCCGCCCGGCGGGCUCAUCGCGGCCUGGUACGUGACGGCGGCGGCGAGCGCGGCGAGCAGCAGCAGGUACUUGGGCAGCUUCUCGUCCCAGAGAUCACGCGCCCCUCCGGCGGCGACGCCCGUGCCAUGCCGCCCGUCGCCUCCGGCUUGGUCUUCGCCCGCGCCGAGCUUUGA
rnacentral:rRNA from 1 species